GUGAGAGGUGUUGUCCAUGAUGGCGGACAGUUUUGCCAGAACUCUCCUCUCUACCACCACCUCAAUGGAUGGUAGAGAGGCGAGCUCAG